GGCUCAGGACAAACGCUGGCGGGGUGCGUGAGACAUGCAAGUCGAACGAGAAGGUGUAGCAAUACAUUGGUAAAGUGGCGGACGGGUGAGUAACACGUAGGUAACCUGCCCUCAAGCGGGGGACAACCCCGGGAAACCGGGGCUAAUACCGCAUAAGCUCACGAACUGAGAUGUUUGUGGGAAAAGCUGCACUGUGAGCAAUCCACUUGAGGAGGGGCCUGCGGCCUAUCAGGUAGUUGGUGGGGUAACGGCCUACCAAGCCUAAGACGGGUAGCCGGACUGAGAGGUUGAACGGCCACACUGGAACUGAGACACGGUCCAGACUCCUACGGGAGGCAGCAGUGGGGAAUUUUGCGCAAUGGGGGAAACCCUGACGCAGCGACGCCGCGUGGGGGAUGAAGGUCUUCGGAUUGUAAACCCCUUUCGGGAGGGAAGAUGGAGUGGGUAACCACUUGGACGGUACCUCCAGAAGCAGCCACGGCUAACUUCGUGCCAGCAGCCGCGGUAAUACGAAGGUGGCAAGCGUUGUUCGGAUUUACUGGGCGUACAGGGAGCGUAGGCGGUUAGGUAAGCCCUUCGUGAAAUCUCCGGGCCUAACCCGGAAAGGGCGGAGGGGACUGCUUGGCUAGAGGAUGGGAGAGGAGCGCGGAAUUCCCGGUGUAGCGGUGAAAUGCGUAGAGA
rnacentral:rRNA from 1 species